UACGUAGGUGGCAAGCGUUGUCCGGAUUUACUGGGCGUAAAGAAUGCGUAGGCGGAUACUUAAGUCAGAUGUGAAAUACCCGGGCUCAACUUGGGUGCUGCAUUUGAAACUGGGUGUCUAGAGUGCGGGAGAGGAAAGUGGAAUUCCUAGUGUAGCGGUGAAAUGCGUAGAGAUUAGGAAGAACACCAGUGGCGAAGGCGACUUUCUGGACCGUAACUGACGCUGAGGCAUGAAAGCGUGGGGAGCAAACAGG
rnacentral:rRNA from 1 species